rnacentral:rRNA from 1 species
AACGAACGCUGGCGGCAUGCCUAACACAUGCAAGUCGAACGAGACCUUCGGGUCUAGUGGCGCACGGGUGCGUAACGCGUGGGAACCUGCCCUUAGGUUCGAAAUAACUCCCCGAAAGGGGUGCUAAUACCGGAUAAUGUCUUCGGACCAAAGAUUUAUCGCCUUUGGAUGGGCCCGCGUUGGAUUAGCUAGUUGGUAGGGUAAAAGCCUACCAAGGCGACGAUCCAUAGCUGGUCUGAGAGGAUGAUCAGCCACACUGGGACUGAGACACGGCCCAGACUCCUACGGGAGGCAGCAGUGGGGAAUAUUGGACAAUGGGCGAAAGCCUGAUCCAGCAAUGCCGCGUGAGUGAUGAAGGCCUUAGGGUUGUAAAGCUCUUUUACCCGGGAUGAUAAUGACAGUACCGGGAGAAUAAGCGCCGGCUAACUCCGUG